rnacentral:rRNA from 1 species
AGAGUUUGAUCCUGGCUCAGAUUGGACGCUGGCGGCAUGCCUUACACAUGCAAGUCGAACGGCAGCACGGGAGCAAUCCUGGUGGCGAGUGGCGAACGGGUGAGUAAUGUAUCGGAACGUACCUUUCAGUGGGGGAUAACGUAGCGAAAGUUACGCUAAUACCGCAUAUUCUGUGAGCAGGAAAGCAGGGGAUCGCAAGACCUUGCGCUGAUUGAGCGGCCGAUAUCAGAUUAGCUAGUUGGUGAGGUAAAGGCUCACCAAGGCGACGAUCUGUAGCGGGUCUGAGAGGAUGAUCCGCCACACUGGAACUGAGACACGGUCCAGACUCCUACGGGAGGCAGCAGUGGGGAAUUUUGGACAAUGGGGGCAACCCUGAUCCAGCCAUGCCGCGUGAGUGAAGAAGGCCUUCGGGUUGUAAAGCUCUUUCAGCCGGGAAGAAAUCACAUGGGUU